rnacentral:rRNA from 1 species
UCUGGUUGAUCCUGGCGGAGGUUACUGCUAUCGAGGUUCGACUAAGCCAUGCGAGUCGAAUGUAGCAAUACAUGGCGAACUGCUCAGUAACACGUGGACAACCUACCCUUAGGCCUGGGAUAACCCCGGGAAACUGGGAAUAAUACCGGAUAUGGCGCGAAUGCUGGAAUGCGUCGCGCCAGAAAGCUCCGGCGCCUAAGGAUGGGUCUGCGGCCUAUCAGGGUAGUAGUGGGUGUAACGGACCUACUAGCCUACGACGGGUACGGGUUGUGAGAGCAAGAGCCCGGAGAUGGAUUCUGAGACACGAAUCCAGGCCCUACGGGGUGCAGCAGGCGCGAAAACUUUACAAUGCUGGCAACAGCGAUAAGGGGACCUCGAGUGCCAGGAUACAAUCCUGGCUGUCGUGAUGCCUAAAAAGCAUUGCAUAGCAAGGGCCGGGCAAGACCGGUGCCAGCCGCCGCGGUAACACCGGCGGCUCGAGUGGUAACCGCUAUUAUUGGGUCUAAAGGGUCUGUAGCCGGCUGGAUAAGUCUCUUGGGAAAUCCGGCAGCUUAACUGUCGGGCUUUCAGGAGAUACUAUCCGGCUCGAGACCGGGAGAGGUGAGAGGUACUUCAGGGGUAGGGGUGAAAUCUUGUAAUCCUUGAAGGACCACCAGUGGCGAAGGCGUCUCACCAGAACGGAUCUGACGGCAAGGGACGAAAGCUAGGGGCACGAACCGGAUUAGAUACCCGGGUAGUCCUAGCCGUAAACGAUACUCGCUAGGUGUCGGCCACGGUGCGACCGUGGUCGGUGCCGUAGGGAAGCCGUGAAGCGAGCCACCUGGGAAGUACGGCCGCAAGGCUGAAACUUAAAGGAAUUGGCGGGGGAGCACUACAACGGGUGGAGCUUGCGGUUUAAUUGGAUUCAACGCCGGAAAUCUCACCGGGACCGACAGCAAUAUGAAGGCCAGGCUGAAGACCUUGCCGGAUUAGCUGAGAGGUGGUGCAUGGCCGUCGUCAGUUCGUACUGUGAAGCAUCCUGUUAAGUCAGGCAACGAGCGAGACCCA